AAACGACUCUCGGCAACGGAUAUCUCGGCUCACGCAUCGAUGAAGAACGUAGCAAAAUGCGAUACUUGGUGUGAAUUGCAGAAUCCCGUGAACCAUCGAGUUUUUGAACGCAAGUUGCGCCCGAAGCCAUCCGGUUGAGGGCACGCCU
rnacentral:rRNA from 1 species